rnacentral:rRNA from 1 species
AGAGUUUGAUCAUGGCUCAGAACAAACGUUGGCGGCAUGGAUUAGGCAUGCAAGUCGAACGAAUCCCGAAGUAGCAAUACAACGGGGGAAGUGGCGAAAGGGGCAGUAAUACAUGGAUAACCUACCCUGGGGAUGGGCAUAGCCGUUCUAACGAGCGGGUAAUACCCAGCGAUUCGGCGGCGGUGGCAUCAUCGCUCCGGGAAAUGAGUUUCGCCUCGGGAGGGGUCCAUGAGCUAUCAGCUAGUUGGCGGGGUAACGGCCCACCAAGGCUUAGACGGCUAGCGGGUGUGAGAGCACGACCCGCGCCACUGGCACUGAGACACUGGCCAGACACCUACGGGUGGCUGCAGUCGAGGAUCUUCGUCAAUGGGCGCAAGCCUGAACGAGCGAUGCCGCGUGAGCGAUGAAGGCCUUCGGGUUGUAAAGCUCAAAAGGGGUGAGAAAGGGAAACUUGAUCGAACCCCAGUAAGCUCGGGCUAAGUUCGUGCCAGCAGCCGCGGUAAUAC